rnacentral:rRNA from 1 species
CGUAGGUCCCGAGCGUUGUCCGGAUUUAUUGGGCGUAAAGCGAGCGCAGGCGGUUUGAUAAGUCUGAAGUUAAAGGCUGUGGCUCAACCAUAGUUCGCUUUGGAAACUGUCAAACUUGAGUGCAGAAGGGGAGAGUGGAAUUCCAUGUGUAGCGGUGAAAUGCGUAGAUAUAUGGAGGAACACCGGUGGCGAAAGCGGCUCUCUGGUCUGUAACUGACGCUGAGGCUCGAAAGCGUGGGGAGCGAACAGGAUUUAGAUAC